rnacentral:rRNA from 1 species
CCUACGGGUGGCAGCAGUGGGGAAUAUUGGGCAAUGGGCGCAAGCCUGACCCAGCAACGCCGCGUGAAGGAAGAAGGCUUUCGGGUUGUAAACUUCUUUUAAUAGGGAAGAGCAGCAGACGGUCCCUCUUGAAUCAGCCACGGCUAACUACGUGCCAGCAGCCGCUGUAAUACGGAGGUGGCAAGCGUUUUCCGGAUUUACUGGGUGUAAAGGGCGUGUAGCCGGGGUGAAAAGUCAGAUGUUAACUCCUGGGGCCUCACCCCCGAACUGCAUUUGAAACUGUUGGUCUUGGGUAUGGGAGAGGUAGGGGGAAAUCUUGGUGUAGGGGUAAAAUCCGUAGAGAUCAAGAGGGAAACGCAUUGCGAAGGGGAGCUGCUAGAACAUAACUGACGGUGGUGCGCGAAAGCGUGGGGAGCAAAAAGGAAUAAAAACCCGUGUAGUC